CAAAACUUAACAUAAUUAAUGUGUCUCACUUACAUUGAGAAAAUAAUUUCAUCAAAUUAGUUUUGA
rnacentral:tRNA from 1 species